ACUGAAUAUGUUUGAUAACUGAUGCACUUUAAUGGACUUCGAGAAAGUACAGCAAUAUAAUUUAGAUCUAUUGUUUCAAUCCAGUCAAUAUAUUUCUUUCAACUCCCAAUAUUAUUCCCUGCUAGACAGUUCCUCCCGGUACAUUAAUAGAUUGUAAGAUCUAUUGGACCCCUUCUUUCAGUGGCGCGUCAGUUGUGCAUAAUCGUUGCUACGAUGUACAACGGUCUUCUCAUUUUAUCAUUGAUAUUAGGUGAUAUUCGUUCAAAUUCGGUCACACAACCUCGGAUAGCACUAUCUGUGAUUGAAGGCGAUGAUGUGAUUGCAGACUGCAGCUACACAGCAGACCAUUCCAACCCUGAACUAUAUUGGUACAGGCAGUAUUCGAAUCAGGCUCUUGACUUCAUUUUAUAUCGGGAUAUCAGUCAAAAAGAGGAUGCAGAUUUUGUCAAUGGAAGAUUUGAGGCCAAUCAAACAAAUGAAGAAAAGAAGUUUCCUUUAAAAAUCACACGAUCAGAAAUACAGGACACUGCUGUAUAUUUCUGCGGUUUGAGAUACACAGUGGUUUAA